rnacentral:rRNA from 1 species
GCAUAUCAAUAAGCGGAGGAAAAGAAACCAACAGGGAUUGCCCUAGUAACGGCGAGUGAAGCGGCAACAGCUCAAAUUUGAAAUCUGUCUACAUUUCGUAGUCCGAGUUGUAAUUUGUAGAGGAUGCUUUUGGUGAGGUGCCUUCCGAGUUCCCUGGAACGGGACGCCAUAGAGGGUGAGAGCCCCGUACGGUUGGAUACCAAACCUUUGUAUAGCUCCUUCAACGAGUCGAGUAGUUUGGGAAUGCUGCUCUAAAUGGGAGGUAUAUCUCUUCUAAAGCUAAAUAUAGGCUAGAGACCGAUAGCGCACAAGUAGAGUGAUCGAAAGAUGAAAAGCACUUUGAAAAGAGAGUUAAACAGCACGUGAAAUUGUUGAAAGGGAAGCGCCUAUGACCAGACUUGUUUCUGGCAGUUUUGUUAGCCCUCGGGCUGAUUUACUCUGUCCAGUACAGGCCAGCAUCAGUUUGUUAUUGGGGAGAAAGGCUCUGGGAACGUAGCUCCCCCCUUCUGGGGGGGAGUGUUAUAGCCCUUUGCAUAAUACCCUUUGGCAGACUGAGGACCGCGCUUCGGCAAGGAUGCUGGCGUAAUGGUCAUCAGCGACCCGUCUUGAAACACGGACCAAGGAGUCAACCUUAUGUGCGAGUGUUUGGGUGUAAAACCCCAGCGCGUAAUGAAAGUGAACGUAGGUGAGAGCUUCGGCGCAUCAUCGACCGAUUCUGAUGUUUUCGGAUGGAUUUGAGUAAGAGCACACAGGGUUGGACCCGAAAGAAGGUGAACUAUGCUUGUAUAGGGUGAAGCCAGAGGAAACUCUGGUGGAGGCUCGCAGCGGUUCUGACGUGCAAAUCGAUCGUCAAAUAUGAGCAUGGGGGCGAAAGACUAAUCGAACCUUCUAGUAGCUGGUUCCAGCCGA